ensembl:miRNA
GCAGUCUGGCUGUGCUGUCACACAGUCUGCACCCUGCUGCAUUACAGCACAGCCAUUCUCU